UACAGAGGUCUCAAGCGUUGUUCGGAUUCAUUGGGCGUAAAGGGUGUGUAGGUGGCGCGCUAAGUCGGGUGUGAAAUUUCGGAGCUUAACUCCGGAACUGCAUUCGAUACUGGCGUGCUUGAGGACUGGAGAGGAGACUGGAAUUCAUGGUGUAGCAGUGAAAUGCGUAGAGAUCAUGAGGAAGACCAGUGGCGAAGGCGGGUCUCUGGACAGUUCCUGACACUGAGACACGAAGGCCAGGGGAGCAAACGGG
rnacentral:rRNA from 1 species